AUCUUGUAACUUUCUCUUUCUAGGCUGUUUUUCCCUGACAGAAGUGGAAGAUAUGUGGGACAGGAAAGAUGGAAGAGAAGCAAAGGGAGGAGAGUGUCACAGAACAUCGCUGUUCAUGUGUACCAGGUGGUAAAGAAACAGUGUCUCUGGCAGCUGAAUGAUGAUCUAACUGCAUCUUUC
rnacentral:lncRNA from 12 species